rnacentral:rRNA from 1 species
GACGAACGCUGGCGGCGUGCUUAACACAUGCAAGUCGAGCGAGGCCCUUCCUUCGGGAGGGUGCCCUAGCGGCGAACGGGUGAGUAACACGUGGGCAACCUGCCCCUAGCACUGGGAUAACUCCGGGAAACCGGGGACGUAAUACCGGAUAUGACCUUUGAGGGCAUCCUCUUUGGUGUAAAGGAAUUCUGGCUAGGGAUGGGCCCGCGGCCUAUCAGCUUGUUGGUGGGGUAACGGCCUACCAAGGCGACGACGGGAGCCGGCCUGAGAGGGCGACCGGCCACACUGGGACUGAGACACGGCCCAGACUCCUACGGGAGGCAGCAGUGGGGAAUAUUGCACAAUGGGCGAAAGCCUGAUGCAGCGACGCCGCGUGAGGGAUGACUGCCUUC